ensembl:lncRNA AC096301.1
CUGUGGGUUGAAGCAUUGGUGUCCUUGACAUAGUGAUGUUCUUGUCAGCAAUACACAUUCACACAGGACUUCUUCAGCUCUUCACAGUUUCUCUUCUGUUAGCCCCUCCCUUGUGCCCGAGCAGAGAAAGAAGUCCAGCUUUAUCCUCACUGUGGCUGGGGUUGCCUUACAAUCGAAGGAAACCAUAGGACAAUGGCUGGAAGAAAUGCAGAUUUGGCUGAGACAGUUUACCACUCUUUCCAUGGGCUGCAUGUGCUUGUACAGUGACAGCACUUUGGAUCCACCAGAUUGACCAAAAUGGAAAAGGUCGGCGAGGCUAAUGAUGUGGUAUGGACUAUGAACUUCUGUAGCCUUCCGGGAAGGAAGGUUAUUAUUUUUAAAGGCACAUAGCUGUUUCAUUCAGCAGUACCAUGUUUUUGGUAAGCUGUCCCACAGAAAGAAGAAGAUCAGCCCGGAAGCAAACUGAAGGCUUUCAGGCUCACAGCUUGCCUGAGGCUCCAUGGCGUGGAAAGAGAUGGAAGAAAGCCAAAGAGUUGUGAUAGCGGAAGCAGAGCAAUAGUGUGCGGAAGGCACUUGGCAGUGAUAACAUCCAUCUAUCAAAGAUUAUACCCGUGUGGCCUUACAGGCAGAUCCAAGGAAAUGCAGAAGGGUCACAGGAGGGCACCCAAGGGCAACGCCAAGACCCCAGGGCCAGGUGCUCCUCCUUCCCCUUCCUGCAGACCCUCCCUAUUCUUGGGGGCAGCGUUUCAAGGACAAGUCCCAAGGGGGCAAAGUGGUUGGGACAGCUGUGCUAAGCGCCUCCCCACCUCAAGUCUCUGAGACCCUCUAGCCCUGCAGUUUCUGCUUUCUCUCCCCCCAGUUCCAGCACCUUAGGCUGCUCUUGGGGGGGACGUCGAGGUGGCUGCCUGCUUCCCUGAGGCACGGGACACACGUGGCACGAG